rnacentral:rRNA from 1 species
GACGAACGCUGGCGGCGUGCCUAAUACAUGCAAGUAGAACGCACAGGAUGCACCGUAGUUUACUACACCGUAUUCUGUGAGUUGCGAACGGGUGAGUAACGCGUAGGUAACCUGCCUGGUAGCGGGGGAUAACUAUUGGAAACGAUAGCUAAUACCGCAUAAGAACAUUUACUGCAUGGUAGAUGUUUAAAAGGUGCAAAUGCAUCACUACCAGAUGGACCUGCGUUGUAUUAGCUAGUAGGUGAGGUAACGGCUCACCUAGGCGACGAUACAUAGCCGACCUGAGAGGGUGAUCGGCCACACUGGGACUGAGACACGGCCCAGACUCCUACGGGAGGCAGCAGUAGGGAAUCUUCGGCAAUGGGGGGAACCCUGACCGAGCAACGCCGCGUGAGUGAAGAAGGUUUUCGGAUCGUAAAGCUCUGUUGUUAAGGAAGAACGAGUGUGAGAAUGGAAAGUUCAUACUGUGACGGACUAACCA